AUAUAAAAGAUUUAUUAACUUGCUUGACUAUGUCUUAUAAAGUUCUGGAUAAAGCUGAUAAUGACAACUUUAUAUCCAUAGGUCUCGACCAAAUCUUGUGCCAGCAGUCGCGGUAAGACAAGGGAGACGAGUGUUAUUCAUCUUUAUUCGGUAUAUAGGGUACCUAGACUGUGUAGAAAGGCUUAAGAGUAGUACCUAUUACACUAGAGUUUAAUAUGUGAGAGGGAGAUGUCAGAAUUAUAGGUGGACAGAUGAAAUGGUUUAAUACCUAUAGGACUGAUAACGGCGAAGGCAAACCUCUAUGUAUAUAUAUUUAUCUUUUCAAAUAUAAAAAAAAGAUGAAAUAUUAACUGACGUUGAGGGACGAAGGCUCAGAGAGUGAAGAGGAUUAGAUACCCCCGUAGCCUGGGCAGACAAUGAUGAGUGCCAUAGGUUGGCUUUAGGCUGAACUAUAAAUGAAAGUGCAAGCACUCCACCUCAAGAGUAAUGUGGCAACGCAGGAACUGAAAUCAUUAGACCGUUUCUGAAACCAGUAGUGAAGUAUGUUAUUUAAUUCGAUGAUCCUCGAAUAACCUUACCACAAUUUGAAUGCUCUAAAUCAAUAGUUAUAUGGUUAGUAAUUCAUAUAAAUAAUAUAUGGUUAAUAACAUAUAUCUAUAUUAAAUAUAAUUUUUUUUAGACCACAUGCGUUGCAUGGCUGUCUUCAGUUAAUGUCGUGAGAUUUGGUUAGGUCCAUUAAAUUAACGUAAACCCUUGUCUUAUUUAGUAGAAUAGGACAGCUCUCCAAUUACAACUGGAUGUGAUAACAGGGACUAAGACAAGUCAUCAUGGCCUUAAUAUUGUGGGCUAUAGACGUGCCACAUAUGCCUUUACAAAGGGAUGCAAUAAUGCGAAU
rnacentral:rRNA from 1 species